GAUGUGGCAUAGUGGUAGUGCGACUGCCUGCAACGUAGAAGGUUCCGGGUUCGAUUCCCGGUAGGUCACCCCAC